UUGUACUCAACUUCGGGCGAAUCAUACCCUACCCAGACUCCUGGAAUCCCCUUAUAUUUGAAUUUAAGUCAAGGGGUCGGGCUAGGCGAUCAUCCCGAGAAAAGGGUCGGCAAGCGAUCCACACAAAAAAGGGGUCGGGCGAGGCGGAGACUGCCUCGAAAGGUCGGGCGAGGCGGAGAACUGCCUCGAGGGGUCAGCGCAUCCGAUCUCGCGAACCGGGGUCGGCCAACUUGAACAGACCCACAGAAAACGGCGUGUGUGGUC
rnacentral:lncRNA from 1 species